rnacentral:rRNA from 1 species
AACGUAGGUGGCAAGCGUUAUCCGGAAUUACUGGGCGUAAAGGGUGUGCAGGCGGGGGAACAAGUGGGGUGUGAAAUCUCCCAGCUUAACUGGGAUAGGUUAUGCCAGACUGUUCUUCUAGAGGACGAGAGAGGGGGGUGGAAUUCCGGGUGUAGUGGUGAAAUGCGUAGAGAUCCGGAGGAACCCCAGAGGCGAAGGCGGCCCCCUGGCUCGUACCUGACGCUCAGCCACGAAAGCAUGGGGAGCGAACGGG